rnacentral:rRNA from 1 species
UUACCCCUUUGACAUGGAAGAGAUUCCUCGGGCACAGGUGCUGCAUGGCUGUCGUCAGCUCGUGUCGUGAGAUGUUGGGUUAAGUCCCGCAACGAGCGCAACCCCGCUUUAGUUGCCACCAUUGGGACUCUAAAGGACUGCCGGAGUUAACGGAGGAAGGCGGGGAUGACGUCAAGUCCUCAUGGCCCUUACAGGGGGCUACACACGUGCUACAAUGGACUACAAGGGGCACAGCGAUGUGAGCAAUCCCAAAAUCGUCUCAGUUCGGAUUGUUCUCUGCAACUCGAGAGCAUGAAGUCGGAAUCGCUAGUAAUCGCGAUCAGUGCGCGGUGAAUACGUUCCCGGGCCUUGUACACACCGCCCGUCACACCAUGGGAGUUGGUUACCGAA